GUGUCAGCAGCCGCGGUAAUACGUAGGGUGCGAGCGUUAAUCGGAAUUACUGGGCGUAAAGCGUGCGCAGGCGGUUGUGCAAGACAGAUGUGAAAUCCCCGGGCUUAACCUGGGAACUGCAUUUGUGACUGCACGGCUAGAGUGCGGCAGAGGGGAGUGGAAUUCCGCGUGUAGCAGUGAAAUGCGUAGAUAUGCGGAGGAACACCGAUGGCGAAGGCAAUCCCCUGGACCUGUACUGACGCUCAUGCACGAAAGCGUGGGGAGCAAACAGGAUUAGAAACCCCAGUAGUCC
rnacentral:rRNA from 1 species